UACGGGGGGGGCAAGCGUUGUUCGGAAUUACUGGGCGUAAAGGGCUCGUAGGCGGCCAACUAAGUCGGACGUGAAAUCCCCAGGCUCAACCUGGGAACUGCGUCCGAUACUGGAUGGCUUGAAUCCGGGAGAGGGAUGCAGAAUUCCAGGUGUAGCGGUGAAAUGCGUAGAUAUCUGGAGGAACACCGGUGGCGAAGGCGGCAUCCUGGACCGGCAUUGACGCUGAGGCGCGAAAGCUAGGGGAGCGAACGGG
rnacentral:rRNA from 1 species